rnacentral:rRNA from 1 species
UACGUAGGGGGCUAGCGUUGUCCGGAAUCAUUGGGCGUAAAGCGCGUGUAGGCGGUCCGGUAAGUCCGCUGUGAAAGUCGGGGGCUCAACCCCCGGAUGCCGGUGGAUACUGUCGGGCUUGAGUACGGAAGAGGCGAGUGGAAUUCCUGGUGUAGCGGUGAAAUGCGCAGAUAUCAGGAGGAACACCAAUAGCGAAGGCAGCUCGCUGGGACGUUACUGACACUGAGGCGCGAAAGCGUGGGGAGCGAACAGG